rnacentral:rRNA from 1 species
ACAGCAGUAGCCGCGGGAAUACGAAGGGGGCUAGCGUUGCUCGGAAUUACUGGGCGUAAAGGGAGCGUAGGCGGACAUUUAAGUCAGGGGUGAAAUCCCAGAGCUCAACUCUGGAACUGCCUUUGAUACUGGGUGUCUUGAGUGUGAUAGAGGUAUGUGGAACUCCGAGUGUAGAGGUGAAAUUCGUAGAUAUUCGGAAGAACACCAGUGGCGAAGGCGACAUACUGGAUCAUUACUGACGCUGAGGCUCGAAAGCGUGGGGAGCAAACAGGAUUAGAUACCCCCGUAGUCCCUGUCUCUUAUAC